CCUACGGGUGGCAGCAGUGGGGGAUAUUGCACAAUGGCGGAAACCCUGAUCCAGCGAAGCCGCGUGAGUGAAGAAGUAUUUAGGUAUGUAAAGCUCUAUCAGCCGGGAAGAAAAUGACAGUACCUGACCAAGAAGCCCCGGCUAACUAAGUGCCAGCAGCCGCGGGUAUACGUAGGGGGGCAGCGUUAUCCGGAUUUACUGGGUGUUAAGGGAGCGUAGGCGGUUAUGUAAGUCUGGAGUGAAAGCCCGGGGCCCAACCCCGGGACUGCUUUGGAAACUGUGUAACUGGAGUACAGGAGGGGUAGGCGGAAUGCCUGGUGUAGCGGUGAAAUGCAUAGAGAUCAGGAGGAACACCGGCGGCGAAGGCGGCCUGCUGGACUGAAACUGACGUUGAGGCUCGAAAGCGUGGGGAGCAAACAGGAUUAGAUACCCCGGUAGUC
rnacentral:rRNA from 1 species